CCUACGGGAGGCAGCAGUGGGGAAUAUUGGGCAAUGGGCGCAAGCCUGACCCAGCAAUGCCGCGUGAAGGAAGAAGGCUUUCGGGUUGUAAACUUCUUUUGCCGGGGAGCAAGGGCGGGGACGUGUCCCGGCCCGGAGAGUACCCGGAGAAAAAGCAUCGGCUAACUCCGUGCCAGCAGCCGCGGUAAUACGGAGGAUGCGAGCGUUAUCCGGAUUUAUUGGGUUUAAAGGGUGCGUAGGCGGGCUUUUAAGUCAGCGGUAAAAAUUCGGGGCUCAACCCCGUCCGGCCGUUGAAACUGGGGGCCUUGAGUGGGCGAGAAGAAGGCGGAAUGCGUGGUGUAGCGGUGAAAUGCAUAGAUAUCACGCAGAACCCCGAUUGCGAAGGCAGCCUUCCGGCGCCCUACUGACGCUGAGGCACGAAAGUGCGGGGAUCGAACAGGAUUAGAUACCCCUGUAGUC
rnacentral:rRNA from 1 species